GCGAACAUUGUUCUCACUAUGGCCUCCUGUACCCACCCCAUCUAGCUUGACAGAUUUCCGUAUCGCAUCAGUGUGUUUGGAAACAGACCAGAUGUCAGCGGUGGAAAAAACCCAAGGGGCUGCUGGGAGGGACAGACGGGAUUCUGCUGUAACUACACGUUCCCAGGCCCCAGCUGCGCAGAGGACAGUCUGCUGCAACUCCCAGCUGCGCAGAGGACAGUCCGCUGUAACUAUAACAUGUUUACAGGCCCCAGCUGCGAAGAGGAAGGCUUUAAACCCGCCAUUUUAAUUAGACUAUUUUUAUUAUGAACUACAAUUAAAUCCAAAAUAUGAUUUAAAAAAAUAAGCUGUCACAACUUUAAGAUUGUAGGAGGUUUCUGUGAUUGGUCCCAAUGUGUGCUGUACAGUCAGUUUCUGUCUCACCAUGCUGACAUGCUCUCAGGUGUUCUCAUGGUUAUUCACUCUUUGCAUUCAUGAGCUCUGGUUUGUUGUCUCAUGCCAAAACUUCUACUAUUUGAAUUUGUCUGUGCUCUGAAGAUGUGACUCUUAGACACAGCCAGGCUGUGCUCUGAAGAUGUGACUCAUACAACCAGGCUGUGCUCUGAAGAUGUGACUCUUAGACACAGCCAAGCUGUGCUCUGAAGAUGUGACUCUUAGACACAGCCAGGCUGUGCUCUGAAGAUGUGACUCUUAGACACAGCCAGGCUGUGCUCUGAAGAUGUGACUCUUAGACACAGCCAGGCUGUGCUCUGAAGACGUGACUCUUGGUCACAGCCAAAAUACACAACCUGUUUAGUGGACCCACAAAAUUCAAGCCAUCAGAGAAAUAAAAAAGAAAUAAACACCUUUUCUUUUGCACAAAAAAUUCUAAAUCUUAAAUUCAUCAGAAUAGCUACCAUUUACAAUACUAACUGCUGAGCAUAUUCCCUCUGCUUCUCUGCCUAUAGACAUCAUCAGUACACAAUCUCUGUUUUCCUAUCCUGCAGACCAUUUCAAGUCAAAUUUUGGAUAAUAAUGAAUAAUGAAUUUCUGUUAUGGUGCAUUUUCAAAUCUUGACCAAACGUGUCCUCAGAAGUCUCAGAGAGUUGUCAAGCAGUUUUGUGUUUGCUCAAAAUUAUGAUGCAUUGUCACUGUAAAUAAUUAUAGUUCUUUGCGAUAGAAGACAACAUUUACAAGAGACAAAAAUGAAACCAGUAGUUUCCUUAAUCAGCACAGUGCUCUCUCUUAUGUGAUGGCUUUAUCGGUUGUGUCUGGCCAUCGGGUAUUCAGUGUAAUGCAGUAUAAUGCAGAUGAUGAUGAUGUUGAUGAUAAUGGAGAACAAGUUUCUGAUGUUAAUGUAACUAAUGUUAUAACAGUCAUAUUUUGCUUUUAUUACACUGAGUGUGUGCAUGUGCAGUGUGCACGUGUAGGUAGCAGUGUGUGCUGUAGGGAGAUGGGAGAGUAAACUUUUCCAUAGUUUAACUCCUUCCUAUUCCAUGGUGGAACGCCAGAGUCAGAAUGGAUCCCUGUGGAUCUGCCUGCACUCUGAGGGGUGAGAAGUGAAAGACUGUCCCCCUGGGUGGGGGGUGCAGGUGGGGGUGAAAGGUGCCCC